rnacentral:rRNA from 1 species
AGAGUUUGAUCCUGGCUCAGAACGAACGCUGGCGGCGUGCUUAACACAUGCAAGUCGAACGGGAUUCGGAGCUUGCUCCGAUGAGAGUGGCGCACGGGUGAGUAACGCGUGGAUAACCUGCCCUGGUAUCCGGAAUAACAUCUCGAAAGGGGUGCUAAUACCGGAUAAGCCUACGGGGUCUUCGGACUCUGCAGGAAAAGGUGGCCUCUAUUUAUAAGCUACCGUAUCAGGAUGGAUCCGCGUACCAUUAGCUAGUUGGUGGGGUAAUGGCCUACCAAGGCGACGAUGGUUAGCUGGUCUGAGAGGAUGAUCAGCCACACUAGAACUGAGACACGGUCCAGACUCCUACGGGAGGCAGCAGUGGGGAAUUUUGCGCAAUGGGGGAAACCCUGACGCAGCAACGCCGCGUGAGUGAUGAAGGCUUUCGGGUCGUAAAGCUCUGUCAGUAGGGAAGAAAUGAAAACGGUUAAUACCCGUUUUUCUUGACGGUACCUACAAAGGAAGCACCGGCUAACUCCGUGCCAGCAGCCGCGGUAAUAC